rnacentral:rRNA from 1 species
GAUGAACGCUAGCGGCAGGCUUAAUACAUGCAAGUCGAGGGGUAGCAAGAUUGUAGCAAUACAAUUGUUGACGACCGGCAAACGGGUGCGGAACACGUACACAACCUUCCUACAAGUGGGGAAUAGCCCAGAGAAAUUUGGAUUAAUACCCCGUAACAUAGCGAUGUGGCAUCACAUUGCUAUUAUAGCUUCGGCGCUGGUUGGUGGGUGUGCGGCUGAUUAGAUAGUUGGCGGGGUAACGGCCCACCAAGUCUACGAUCAGUAGCUGAUGUGAGAGCAUGAUCAGCCACACGGGCACUGAGACACGGGCCCGACUCCUACGGGAGGCAGCAGUAAGGAAUAUUGGACAAUGGACGCAAGUCUGAUCCAGCCAUGCCGCGUGAAGGAUUAAGGUCCUCUGGAUUGUAAACUUCUUUUAUAAGGGACGAAAAAAGGUCUUUCUAGAUCGUCUGACGGUACCAUAUGAAUAAGCACCGGCUAACUCCGUGCCAGCCGCCGCAGUAAAAC